rnacentral:lncRNA from 1 species
GGCUCCUCCCCCUCGCCCGGCCCCGGGCGGGCUGAGCCCCGGGAGUGCUCGGCUUGGCCCGCUCUUUCUCCUUCUCUGCUCCUUCCCCUGCCCUUCCUCCUCCUCUGCUCCUUCCCCUGCUCUUCCUCCUCCUCUGCUCCUUCCCCUGCUCUUCCUCCUCCCCUGCUCCCCCUCCUCCUUCCCUGCUCUUCCCCCUCCUCCUUCCCUGCUCUUCCCCCUCCUCCUCCCCUGCUCUUCCCCCUCCUCUGCUCCUUCCCCUACUCUUCCUCCUCCUCCCCUGCUCUUCGUCCUCUGCUCCUCCUCCCCUGCUCUUCCCCCUCCUCUGCUCCUUCCCCUACUCUUCCUCCUCCUCCCCUGCUCUUCGUCCUCUGCUCCUCCUCCCCUGCUCUUCCUCCUCCUCUGCUCCUUCCCCAGCUCUUCCUCCUCCCCUGCUCGUCCUCCUCCUCCCCUGCUCGUCCUCCCCCUCUGCUCCUUCCCCAGCUCUUCCUCCUCCCCUGCUCGUCCUCCCCCUCCCCUGCUCUUCCUCCCCCUCCCCUGCUCUUCCUCCCCCUCUGCUCCUUCCCCAGCUCUUCCUCCUCCCCUCCUCCUUCUCUGCUCCUCCCCCUCCCCCGCUCCUCCUCCUCCCCCUCCCCCCCUCCGGCUCCCCCAUCCCCGUGCCCCUCCGUGCCACCUCCCUAAAAGGGGCAGGAGCGGGGGGCAUCGGGGCAUCUGCCGGGAUUGAGCAUGCUAAGAAGCCCGGCCCGCCGCGGGCCGCCCGCCCCUCGCCCCAACGCUUAGAGCGGCCCAGCCCGGAGGAGCGGGCGGAGGGAGGACCAGCCGGGGCACCAGUCGGGGCACCAGCCGGGGCACCAGCCGGGGCACCGAGCCCGGGCACCGAACCCGGCCCCCGCCCGAUCGACGUAAGGCUAAUUUGGAAACAUUUCUGCAGCCCAUGGAAGAGCUAA